rnacentral:tRNA from 1 species
CGGGAAGUGGCGCAGCUUGGUAGCGCACCUGCUUUGGGAGCAGGGGGCCGCGGGUUCAAAUCCCGCCUUCCCGAC